CAGCCGCCGCGGGAAUACGAAGGGUGCAAGCGUUACUCGGAAUUACUGGGCGUAAAGCGUGUGUAGGUGGUUGUUUAAGUCUGUCGUGAAAGCCCUGGGCUCAACCUGGGAAUUGCGAUGGAUACUGGGCGACUAGAGUGCGGUAGAGGAUAGUGGGAUUUCCGGUGUAGCAGUGAAAUGCGUAGAGAUCGGAAGGAACAUCUGUGGCGAAGGCGACUAUCUGGGCCAACACUGACACUGAGACACGAAAGCGUGGGGAGCAAACAGGAUUAGAUACCCCUGUAGUCCCUGUCUCUUAUAA
rnacentral:rRNA from 1 species